UACGUAGGGGGCAAGCGUUGUCCGGAAUUAUUGGGCGUAAGCGCGCGCAGGCGGUUCUUUAAGUCUGGUGUUUAAACCCGAGGCUCAACUUCGGGUCGCACUGGAAACUGGGGAACUUGAGUGCAGAAGAGGAGAGUGGAAUUCCACGUGUAGCGGGUGAAAUGCGUAGAUAUGUGGAGGAACACCAGUGGCGAAGGCGACUCUCUGGGCUGUAACUGACGCUGGAGGCGCGAAAGCGUGGGGAGCAAACGG
rnacentral:rRNA from 1 species